rnacentral:rRNA from 1 species
CCUACGGGAGGCUGCAGUGAGGGAUAUUGCACAAUGGGGGAAACCCUGAUGCAGCCAAGCCGCGUGGGGGAAGAAGUAUCUAGGUAUGUAAAGCCCUAUCAGCAGGGAAGCAGAAGUGACGGUACCUGAGUAAGCAGCACCGGCUAAAUACGUACCAGCAGCCGCGGUAAUACGUGGGGUCCAAGCGUUAUCCGGAUUUACUGGGUUUAAAGGGAGCGCAGGCGGCACGGGAUGCCUGAUGUGAAAGCCCGCGGCCCAACCGCGGGACUGCAUUUGGAACUACCGGGCUGGAGUGCCGGAGAGGUAGGCGGAAUGCGUAGUGUAGCGGUGAAAUGCGUAGAUAUUAGGAGGAACACCAGUGGCGAAGGCGGCCUACUGGACGGUGACUGACGCUGAGGCUCGAAAGCGUGGGGAGCAAACAGGAUUAGAUACCCCUGUAGUC